rnacentral:lncRNA from 1 species
AGGGUGUCAGGAGACUGUCACCAGUGAGUCCUCAAAGGUUUAUGGUGAGAGGUUUGAGCUUUUCUUCCAUAUUCCUGUCACAAAAUCAGGCCGGUAAAUCGAGAGAAAGGAAGAAAGUUUAUCAACCAUCUGUGUCCCUGCUGGUGGGAUGCUGGACAUCUUCCUCCUGGUCUUCCUGGGUUCCGCGUUUUGCAGCGUUGCUGGAGCAGUGCUGGGCAUGCGUGGCAGUGUGGGCACAUCCCCAUGAACAAGGAGCCCUGGGGAGGGCCCCAGGAACCCCACAGACUGGCAGAACCAUCCGUCCACCAUUUUCUAGGAAAAAUUGCCUUUGGUUUGCCUUCAUUUAGAUUUCCAGCACUCCGAGGGGAAUGAAGCCAUGCUCUAGCACAGAGGAGAGAGACACCAAAGAAACUAGACAGGAGGAGCCAAGAUGAGGCGUUUCCUUUUGGGGAGGAAUAAUCUCUGAGAGAAGAAGCGCCAUCCUCCUGCUGUCUGUGAGUCAUGAAGCUGAAGCCAGUGAAUAAAACAUGGUUUUUGUAGAUGAAAUCUGUGCUCGUGGUUUAAUCGCUGGACGUUGUAGCCGAGAAAGCCAUGUCCCCGGAGCGUCUGUCUGCACCACAGCUGACUUUUCCCAGGGAUGGUGAUCGACCUUAGGAUGGAGCUGUCUUACCGGUCGUGGUUCCCGCAGAACCUGGCAGAGUCCUGGCCCAGAGUGGGCGCUCAGUGACUACUAGAUGAAUGGCACCGUGGGGUGUGGUCCACAGACCCUGAGGAAAAGACUGCCCUGGAAAACUGCCCCCUCUGGAGACCAAACGUGUGACUGACAAAACCUGAGGUUGCUCAGUGCUUAUCCCCUCCUGGCUAAGACCAGAGGCUCCCCCAACUGUAUUCUCGUCAACUUACAGCUUUGAUUUUAAUUCAAAAAUGUCAAGUUACUAGUCUUUCUUUUUUUGGUGAGGAAGAUUGUCACUGAGCUAACAUCUGUGCCCAUCUUCCUCUGUUUUGUAUGUGGGACACCGCCAUGGCUUGAUCAGCAGUGUGUAGGUCUGCACCCAGGAUCCAAACCCGUGAACCCUAGGCCGUUGAAGUGGAGCUCCCGAACUUAACCACUAUGCCACUGGGCCAACCACUAUGCCACCAGGCCAGCCGCUAAGUUAUGAUUCUUACAGUCGCCAUCUCUUCCUGCUGAAGCGCAUCCUUGAGUAGCCCUCUUGGGGAAGGUCUGUGGGUUGCAAACUCUGUCUGUG